rnacentral:misc_RNA from 1 species
UCAACCCUCAAGCCCCGGCUUGGUGUUGGGCGCGGCCGCGGGGCCGGCCCCAAAGGCAGUGGCGGUGCCGCCCGGUCCUAAGCGCAGUACAGCUCUCGCUCCAGGGCCCGCCGGUCGCCUGCCAGGAACCCCGACUCCGU